rnacentral:rRNA from 1 species
CCUACGGGAGGCAGCAGUGGGGAAUAUUGGGCAAUGGGCGCAAGCCUGACCCAGCAACGCCGCGUGAAGGAAGAAGGCUUUCGGGUUGUAAACUUCUUUUCUCAGGGACGAAGAAAGUGACGGUACCCGGAGAAAAAGCAUCGGCUAACUCCGUGCCAGCAGCCGCGGUAAUACGGAGGAUGCGAGCGUUAUCCGGAUUUAUUGGGUUUAAAGGGUGCGUAGGCGGGGCGUUAAGUCAGUGGUAAAAUUGAGGGGCUAAACCCCUUACCGCCAUUGAAACUGGCGCUCUUGAGUGGAAGAGAAGUAAGCGGAAUGCGUGGUGUAGCGGUGAAAUGCAUAGAUAUCACGCAGAACCCCGAUUGCGAAGGCAGCAUGCCGGCUUCCUACUGACGCUGAAGCACGAAAGCGUGGGGAUCGAACAGGAUUAGAUACCCGGGUAGUC